rnacentral:lncRNA from 1 species
GUCACAGACAGUCACACUAAAAACAACAUUGAUCACAAGCAAUAAUAGUUUGCACAGAUCUAGUCACAAACAUAACAACUUACACAAACUUGAUUACAAACAAUAAUAAAUUACACAUACUUGGUUACAAAUAUCAAAUGUUAUAAGACACCUAAUCAUAUAAAAAUCACAGCUAAGACAUAAUAAUCACAUAAUUAUUUAUUACGACAUACAUGAUCAUAUUUAUUAGUUACAAAUUAUACAAUUAAUCAAUCAUGUUCACUAAUUUUCCUUGUCAAAAACCAUACUAUUUCUAUUAGUCAUACAUCACACAAUUUCCCUUCCAUUUUAAGUUUAGAGUAUCACUUGCUAAUCCCUUACCAUUAGAUAGAAAUUUGAGGAUUUACUUAUUUAUUAUUGAAAGUUAUUGACCAAAUGUUUUAUAGAAUAGAAAAUGAGGGGCUUCCUUGGCAAAAUUGGAGUUAGUGCUCUAAUAUUCAGCAUCCACUUAGACCCAUUUCCUCCAUUUGAUACAAGCUCAAACGGGUGACAGAGAACAGAGAACAAAAAUGGGAAAGGAAGAAAAAAGAGAGAGAAAGAAGUGAGUAUAGUUCAUGUGCUCCAUUGCUAAAACCAACAACCCGAUAAAAUGCUAAUUACAACGUCUAUUUGUUCCUCCUCAUUCGCAUCAUCUCUCAUUACGCCCCAAAUUCACCUUAAAAAGUAGAGGUUUGCGGUGGCGGAGUCAUUGGAUUUGCAUUGCUUACUUCUUAUCCAAAAAAGGUGCGGUCGUCACACUUAUUGAAAAAUCCUUUCGACAAGAUCGACAGUCACAAUUUGUCUCUCUCACUCUAAGCUAAAGAAAGAAAAAUGGUAUACGAGAAAACAAAAGAAAUUAAAACCCUAGAUUUUGAGCAAUGACAAUGGCCGAACGAUUAAGAUUGGGUCUUCCAAUCUUCCGUUCAAUCCUCACCUUCAACACUAUCUCCAUCGUCGCCGUCCAAACAUCCACAACAGUGAAAUCCCCCAUCUGAUCUCUCAUCAACACGGAAUUAUGGUUGAUGGGAGUGGGUAUGGUGGAUUGGGACAUUUGUGGAGAGAGAAUUCGUGAAGUGGGAGAAUUUGG